GUGGGCUACGGGGACGUCUACCCCAAAUCCAGUUGGGGUAAAUUAGUGGGGGCGAUUUGCUGCAUUUGCGGCGUUUUGGUCAUAGCAAUGCCCAUCCCAAUUAUCGUCAGCAAU
rfam:Helobdella robusta unplaced genomic scaffold HELROscaffold_85, whole genome shotgun sequence.